rnacentral:lncRNA from 1 species
GGAGAAUGAAAAAUCUGAAGAAUCAAUUGAGGAAGAACACUUUUAAUGAGGCAUAUCUUUUGGAUUUCCUGAGUUUUGUAUAUAUGCACUUAUUACUGAUUCAAAAAAUUUCCAAAGAUAAUAGAUUCUGGAAAAAAUCUUCUGAAGAGUAUCUGGAAUAGAAUAUUAAAAUGGAUAUAUUGGUGAAAACGUCAAGAUGAUAGAUGUCAGAUAACAAAGAAAAGCAUCCAAUAAAAUGUAAAUUUUAAAAAUAGGCGGCCAAGAAUUGAUUAGAUGACUCCUAAAGUUUCCUCCUCUGCAAGAGUAUAAACUGGUUGAGAGUUGGAGAAUACAAAAAGACUUUUGAGGAUCUCUCGGAGUAUUUGACAUGCAUUCUCUGCAACUGAAGGCUACAUAGACUGAUGUCUGACCUCUUCUUAAGAAGUCCAAAGGAUUGCCUGAGGUGAGGAGAGGGGGAAUAAUAAAGGGAGAGCCUAUCGCAAGAGGAAAAGAAAACUAAAGACUCUACUAGGACAAAUAGUAAAUGAUUGGUUCUUUUCCUUCCUCCAAUUGGGAGAUCAUGUCUGGUUUGGAAACUGCAAGUCCUGUUCAGGAAAAAGGAAACGUGACUUCACCAUGUUGGUGACAAAAAGCCAUUCCAGAAUUCAUUGAGGUCAUCAAUCUUUUGGAAGGCGAGGCCAAUAAAGGGAGUUCCAUAUGAUUACAAAAGUACUUGGGGAAGGCUUACAUCUAUGCUCCCAAGAAUAGUGACAUAUACUGCA